UACAGAGGUCUCAAGCGUUGUUCGGAUUCAUUGGGCGUAAAGGGUGCGUAGGUGGCUUGGUAAGUCGGAUGUGAAAUCCCGGGGCUCAACCCCGGAACUGCAUUCGAUACUGCUUUAGCUGGAGUGCUGGAGAGGAGAUCGGAAUUUACGGUGUAGCAGUGAAAUGCGUAGAUAUCGUAAGGAAGACCAGUGGCGAAGGCGGAUCUCUGGACAGCAACUGACACUGAGGCACGAAGGCCAGGGGAGCAAACGGG
rnacentral:rRNA from 1 species